UCUCCGUUGGUGAACCAGCGGAGGGAUCAUUACAGAGUUGAAAAACUCCUUACCAUUGUGAACGAACCGCUAUGCUCAGGCGAGUAGCGCUCUGUCGCUGCACGCUGAAGGCAUUAAACUCUUAAUUUAGUGAACAUCUGAGUGGGUUAUUUAAUGGGUUAAAACUUUCAACAACGGAUCUCUUGGUUCUG
rnacentral:misc_RNA from 1 species